CCACGUGUGCGGCGAGGUAGCCAGGGUCAGCUGCGUGUGUAUAGACACGUUUAUAGGGAUACAUAGACGUGUCAGAUGUAUUGCUACAGUUUGGCAGUUCCUGGGAAACCACAGAAGAAGCAGCUCCUGAACUGUGCUUACAAGUUGAAAGAAAUAAAAGCCCAAGAUGUCACCUUAAAUACCCUGCCUGCAAGUCUGGAAUAUAGUCUCCCUCCUAAGAGCCUAGAAACCACUUUCUGGCCAGAAAAGAAAACCCAAACAAGGUCUACAGCUCCUCUCUGUUCCAGGAAAAUGAAGUUGCCGGAGUUACAGAGACUGAUGAAAGUUAAAGGGAUGGCCCAGAAUCAUUUGACUCAGUCUACGCCCUGCCUUGCUUCCUCUUCCUCUAAGAGAGAAAUAAAGACUUCCAAAACAGAAUUGAAAUCCUUCCACCGCCUGUAAAAGAGAAAAAAUAGAAAUCUACUGCUUUCUAAUGAUGGCUCUCCUUUUCCUAAAUGUGAUAGUGUGGCUGCUAAUCCAGCAUGGUAUUCUGCCAUUUAAUUUCCAUGUCUUUGACAGAGUUCUAAAAAACUAACAAUCCCCAUCUUAUUUUGAAUUCCCCUGUGGCUUUCUCAGUCGGUCACGCUUCUGUCUCGUGCCCCAACAGAUAGCACACCCUACCAUGAUGCUCCUGCUAAGUCCUGAAUGCAAGAGGCAUUACAGGCCAGCUUUGCCCCUGCCAGCACAUGAGACAGGGACAACUCCCAGCUGUAGGUGGUGGCAGCAUAGCCAAGCUGCUGCAGCUACCAUUACUUUUGCACCCCCAAAAGACAAUGCCUGUAGUUAUUGCCCCUGUCACCC